UCUGUGUCGUGCGAGACUAUACACCUGUCAGUGGCUCCCGUUAGCAUCCGACUCCAACUUCCUGUGGAUAUUUUAUACUGAACCCGUUUGACAGUAAUUGGAUGUUAUUUUACUUUAAAUAAUAUAUGAAACUGAGCCAAUCUAGAAACAACUAAAACGCGAAUAGAAAAUGUAUAUACGAGAGGGACGCUUAGAUGGUGAGCUUGCGAUGUAGUAUGCAUUCGCAAAAAGCCGCAAGCGUGAAGAUAGCGGCAAUGGCUAGACGAACUCAAUUAUCAUAGUCUCAGGACCAUUGCGUCAAGCGACCCAGCAUCAGAUAGGAGCUUCACCUAUAUUUUCUUCAACUAUUAUGAAACUCGUACAAUCAUUUACAACAACAGAAUACUUCCGUAACUAUUGAAUAUUGCUGAGAGGAUUUCUGCAAUAUUAGCGUAAAACAAUGCCCACACAAAUCAAGCAGGAUUCCUAUUGCAUAUCAAACAUUUGCAUGCACAUUCGCGUGUUGACGCCCACUCCGUGCAACGCCGUGCAAUCGAACAACAUAUCAGCAUCGCAUUAGCACUGCAGAAUUCUGUUAUUAAUACUGUGUUUGAUGUAACGAAACUGUUGGCCCAGUGGAUGGGUAAGUCGAUCGCAUCUCGUUACCUGAUACGGAUCGAUGUCUGACGAUACUGCACAACCUUGGAUCUUACGGAAUACGUCUCAUGCGUAUCGGGUGUACGUUUGGAAAUAUUGACCACUAGCCGUAAAGCGACUUGGGCCGCGAUAUACUUUUUGUGCAGUCCCCAAAGGACGAAGUCUGGCGCUAAACAACCUACGUAUGUGACUUUUUUUUUUAACUUUUAACCUUCAAUUCAAUUGAAGUAUUUUUUAUAAGAUUCGGAACAGAAUUACUUCCAACUAACAGAAAAGUAAAAAAAUAUAAUUCCUUCUAUAUAUUUAAAAUUGUCAACACAGCAACAUAUUGUAAUAUAAAUAUGUAUGUUUA